AUGGACUCCUCAUGACUAGCA
rnacentral:miRNA from 1 species